ensembl:lncRNA
GCUCUCUUAAACUCUGCAUCCUUCUCCUCUGUCCCCCCUGCUCCCCGUUUCUCCUUGCUCUCCCUCUCACCGUCUUCUCCACCAAAAUCCAUGACGUCCUUCUCUUCCCCAUCUGCUUUCUCCUGCGCCAAAGCAUUCACUUCUUUUGAUUCGCUCAACCUCUAUCCCCUUCCAGGGUUCCAAGUUUCUGGAAGAGUUGGACUCACCAGCACCCCUCCCUCGUCAUUUAUCCAAUCAAUGGAAAUGUCACUUUGUCGACCAUCCAACCAGGAGGCGUAUACGGAUGGAUUCCAAUGCCUGCACUCAUGCCUCCUGUCAACUGUUACCGUGGAUCUCUAAGAGCACCUUUGCUUUUGGAGUACACACUUGACCCCCUUUUUUCUUUGUCCCAUCAUGAUUGCCCAUAAUUUCCAUAAUUACACUAACUCUGGACACUAUAUACUAUGUUUGGAUGUCGGUUUUGUGUGUGGAUUAGAUGGUCUAUUUUGCUGUUACUCCUCCUGCUGUUUGUUUUCUCCACCAUUUAUAAUCACUCUUUUGACAUGAAGUGGACCCUAUCGUAAUAAACUAAUGGGACUAUGGUUUCUAGGAAAUAAUAAAGGACAUGAUAAACAAAUGUGGAUUGAUUACAGAUUUUAGGUUUAGGGUUUUCACUACUCAUCUGGUACAACUGAUGACUCUGUAAUGGUAUCCAAAAUACACUGGUAAAUAUUGACUUUAGUAGAGGUCAUUGUUUUCCAUUACUCAACAUUUAUCUACCGUUUUAUUGCUUAGCUGCAUCUCUACCCUUUGGGAAAUGCGUUUCAAACGUAUCAAAGUAUUAACAUUUAUUUUCUUUCUGUUUAACUGUCAAAUUGGAGUUCAAACCGUACAGCACACAGGGAAGCUCGCGCUUCACUGGAAACUUGGCUGACAUGAUGCCAAAAAUGUAUUGGAAACUUGCCAAACAACCAUCAAAGUCAGGCCGUCGUCUCCCUAUCGGCUGUCCAUUGCUCUGUCAUGAUAAAAUUAAUCUAUAUUUCUAUCAAUUAAAUCAAAUCAAAAUUGUAUCAAA